rnacentral:misc_RNA from 1 species
AACGCACCUUGCGCCCCUUGGUAUUCCGAGGGGCAUGCCUGUUUGAGUGUCAUGUCAUUCUCAAUCCUCUUUUUCUUAAUUGAAGAAGAGGCUUGGACUUGGAGGGUAUAUCCAUGCUGGUACUGUCUGUAUUGGCUCCUCUCAAAUGCAUUAGCUGGACUGUAGUUCGCAUUGUUUGGUGUAGUAAUAGUUUUCUAUCUAUAGUCACUACAGUGCUUGCUUAGACUGUCUGCUUCCAAUAGUCCACCUAUGUGUUGGACAGGUACUCUGUUACCUUGACCCAUUUGACCUCAAAUCAGGUAGGACUACCCGCUGAACUUAA